UUGAGCUUCCCCGUGCCCCCAGAAUUUCUCUGUAAUCCCUUUUCUCCCCUUGUGUUCAAUAUUUGUUUUCAAGACCUCUGAAUGUCUAGAAGCCAGCAGAGGCAUAUUGGGAUGUAUGCUCAAUCUCCUAAAAUGGAUAUCAAGUUUACAUCCUCCAUUAUCCCACCUACUUCUGGGUUCCACAGGCUGGUUUGGAUGCUGGCACAAAACUACAUGGAGCUGGUAGGCAGAGAUUUUCUUUUUCUUGCCCUGCCGCCCAACCCCAACCAUGCUCUACCUGGAGAGUGGAGUUGAGGAGCAGAGUGAGGGGCCAUGUCUCGCGGCAGAGCAGAGCACGGGCCGUGUCCCGUGG